AAAUGGUAACACCCCAAUAAGUUUUUCAACUUGUUUAAGUUGGGGUCCACGUUAAUCAACUCAUGGUAAAUCUGUGCUGAUAUCGUAUCGAAUCGAUGGAUAUCGGCCAAUACUCAAUAUGGGACGGCCCUAAACAGGAUUGAACCAACAUGAUGUGUUUGAUUUCAGGUUUUUGAAAUAACAAAUGAGUUGUUUUCAUUGAGGUUCAUGAAAGACAACGAUAUCAUCUGUAACAACUGUGGCCGAUACUUGGUUCUCGUCAAUCCUAAUUAUAAGCAAUUAAAAACACCUGUGGUAUUUUAGGCUUCAUCAUGAAGUUGCCGGUGUUUGGUGCGCCGCCUGACACCAUCUGCUACGAGGACAGCGUCUACUGGGAAGUGCCCGGGGACGAGGAGGGUCACGACGACCAGCUGACCACGGUGGUCUCUGCUGAGUGCGAGAAACUCAACGGUUAGACGGACACGCGCGCAUGCGCACGCACCUGGAUACGUCUUGGCGUAGGUUGCGCAGGUACAUCUGCAUGCCCCCCCCCCCCCCCCAAAAAAGGACACUAGUACAGGUUUCCACCACUAGAGGGCGACGUGCUGCCGGCUUGCCGAGCGGUCGUGACUGUUUGAUGACGUCAGCUGGCUGCCAGCCCCACACCAAAGACUCUUCGAGAAGUUAAAGUUACACACUAACAUCUCUAAAAAACCUUUUAAAGGUCCUACUGUUUUAUUUUGUAUUAUCACUUACUGUAGGUCAGGGGUUUUCUCUUUUUAUCAGUCCUAUUAAAAUGUAUGACUUGUCAUUUAA